rnacentral:rRNA from 1 species
CCAAUAGCGUAUAUUAAAGUUGUUGCAGUUAAAAAGCUCGUAGUUGAAUUUCGGGAUCAAUUCGUCGGUCGUGCUUUUUGGUACGUACUGGCGUUAUUGGUUUCUCCUUUCUGACGAGCCAUGAUGUCAUUAGUUUGGUGUUAUGGGGAGUUAGGACUGUUACUUUGAAAAAAUUAGAGUGUUUAAAGCAGGCAUUAGCUUGAAUACAUUAGCAUGGAAUAAUGAAAUAGGACGUUCGAUCCUAUUUUGUUGGUUUCUAGGAUCAACGUAAUGAUUAAUAGGGAUAGUUGGGGGCAUUAGUAUUCAAUUGUCAGAGGUGAAGUUCUUGGAUUUAUUGAAGACUAACUACUGCGAAAGCAUUUGCCAAGGAUGUUUUCAUUAAUCAAGAACGAAAGUUAGGGGAUCGAAGACGAUCAGAUACCGUCGUAGUCUUAACCAUAAACUAUGCCGACUAGGGAUCGGAUGAUGUUAAUUUUUUAAUGACUCAUUCGGCGCCUUACG